rnacentral:rRNA from 1 species
AUGGUCUUGAUCCACUACGGCGUCGCCCACUUCAUCGAGCACCCACUGCCGCCCAACGCUGACGCCGCCACCCCUGAACUUGACGCCCAUCUCGUUCUCUGGAUUUACGCCACUCUCGCUGAUGCCCUUGUUGACCAUGUCGUCGGUGCCACCUCCACGUACGAGCUCUGGACUCGGAUCCGUGACUACUUCCUCACCAAUCGGGCUGCCCAGUACAUGAUGCUCAACCGGCAGUACCGUAAUCUCAAGCAGGGGGAUCUCUCCGUCGCGGAGUACGCUCGCCGCAUGAAGUUGCUCACCGCUGGGCUCGCGGACAUCGAUCACGCAUUCAUCGAGGUGGAUCUCACCACCCAGUUCCUCCACGGCAUCGACAAACGUCUCGACACCAUCCGCGUUGUCUUGGUCGACACCGUUCCCCUACCGCCAUUUGAGAUAGUUUUCUCCCGCGUCAAGCUUGAAGAGGAGAACCAGGCCCAGCCACCGAUGACGAGCCCAUCACCAUCCUCUCCGUCACUGGCGGCUCCACUCCCUCUGGGAGCUCCUCUGGCUCGGCUGGCCCGUCGGCCACACGCCCCUGUGAUCGCGGCGACCGCGCCAUCGAGCGCGGCCCAGAGCGCGGCGGGUAUGGGCACCAGCAAGGUCGCGGCUCCGGCACUCGCCAGGAGGGCGGUGACCGUGGACAUGGACGCGGUCGGGGUCGCAGGCGCAGACGUGGCGAUAGGGGCAGCGCGGCUUCACCAACAACCUCCCUGCACCCAUGCCCAAUCCCUACAUGGGCUUCUUCGGCCCCUACGGCAUGGCCCUGCCCAAUCCGCGCCCUGGCUGGGUUCCUCCGAACACUGCGGGCGUGCUCGGUCCUCGGCCCGGCUCGCAUGCCCAGGCCUACCAGAUGCAGUUCUCGGGCUACCCCACACCGCCUCCUCCACCACAGCCGUCGUGGGAUCAUCUCGCGAUGCUGCAAGCCGCCUACAGCGCUCAUGGCUUCCCCAACAAUGGCUCUGCGCUCAAUGA